AUCUGUUUAUGGUAUUAUUACUGCCUAGAUAUAUAUUGUAAUCUGUUUACACUUAUUCUACAUUUUUGUUUUUACAUAAUUUUGUUUAUAUUUAUUUUACUAAAUAAUUGGGAUUUAAUAUAACGACUACAGAGGACUCCGAAGAAGAAUGUCAGUAAUUAUGUUUGUGAAUAGUUUUGUUUCUCUUCGGAUUUAACUUUUCUUUGUUUUUUAUAUAGUAAAGAAUAACAAAAAGUCUAAUAUUAACUAUUGGUCAAAGCUGAUUUCAAUAAUACUGUCUAAAUUUUUUGACUUGUGGUAGUUUGAUUACCAGUAUAAAUUUAUUUAGUAAAGUUCUGGUGGAUCAAAGGCCGAGGAAUGAUUUGCUUUUAACUGGUUUGCAUCUUAUGAACGAAGUACAUAAUAUGAUUUGAAUUGAUGAUUUAUAGUUACACCUAUUGAAACUCUGUAUCUCAAUGAUAUCCUGGCUUAUUGAUACGAUAUCCUGUAAAUUCACUCACACGCAUAAAUUUUACUCACACACGUAAAUCCUGUAAAUUCACACACACACAAAUCUUAAAAAAGAUGUUUAUUUUUUUAUCUAUAAAUUGUAAAUUUUAUAUAAAUAAAUUGUAUAUUUUUUAUGUUUUUCAUUGUAUAUUACUAUUUGUAUUAAAAUCGACAUUGGAAAUAUUGCAAGUGCAGAGUUCAACAUA